CCCACAAUUGGCACUGUAAGCCGGAGAUGGUGGACACCACAUCGGCACUCCAAGAGGAAGGUGGAGUCCAAACCUGCAUCGGUGCUACACAUAUGACAGGCAAGCCUGGGGAAACCACGGUGGGAUGAGGUGCGGAGGGGAAGCUCCCUGAUAUUGCUGGGCUUACAGCCAACCUCUGUCACACUGGGCCUGCAGACCAGUGCCA